AGUGAACGCUGGCGGUAGGCCUAACACAUGCAAGUCGAACGGCAGCACAGUAAGAGCUUGCUCUUACGGGUGGCGAGUGGCGGACGGGUGAGGAAUACAUCGGAAUCUACUUUUUCGUGGGGGAUAACGUAGGGAAACUUACGCUAAUACCGCAUACGACCUACGGGUGAAAGCAGUGGAUCUUCGGACCUUGCGCGAUUGAAUGAGCCGAUGUCGGAUUAGCUAGUUGGCGGGGUAAAGGCCCACCAAGGCGACGAUCCGUAGCUGGUCUGAGAGGAUGAUCAGCCACACUGGAACUGAGACACGGUCCAGACUCCUACGGGAGGCAGCAGUAGGGAAUAUUGGACAAAGGGCGCAAGCCUGAUCCAGCCAUACCGCGUGAGUGAAGAAGGCCUUCGGGUUGUAAAGCCCUUUUGUUGGGAAAGAAAAGCAGCAGGUUAAUACCCCGCUGUUCUGACGGUACCCAAAGAAUAAGCACCGGCUAACUUCGUG
rnacentral:rRNA from 1 species